rnacentral:rRNA from 1 species
GCACCACAAGAACGCGUGGAGCAUGUGGCUUAAUUUGACUCAACGCGGGAAAUCUUACCGGGUCCGGACACACUGAGGAUUGACAGGCAAUAUCUCAUGUUUCAUUAACCGUUAUUAACGUAUCGGUUAUUUCCUUAACAUCGAGUGUUAAAUAUGCUAGUCCUUUCAUGAUUAUGUGAUAGGUGGUGCAUGGCCGUUCUUAGUUCGUGGAGUGAUCUGUCUGCUUAAUUGCGUUUCACUAAGGGCCCAUAAAUUCAAGGUAUGUUAGCUAUCGCCGCUCUAUGGACCCCUUAACCUCGGUUAAGCGCGCGUCUUUAUUUAAAGAGUUUAAGGCAUUGCGCAUGCUGUUGGGCUCUGAAAGCAACGAACGUGACCGCAACGUCUUGUUGCCUUAAUUAAGUCGUGUUUAAAUGGUAUUUGAUUACAAUUUAACCGCUUACCGAGGCUAUUUAAAACUAGACGGACCGCUGUUUCUUUUCUUAAACCAGAGGAAGGUUGCGGCAAUAACAGGUCUGU